rnacentral:rRNA from 1 species
CUUGCCUACGGGGGGCAGCAGUGAGGAAUAUUGGUCAAUGGGCGCAAGCCUGAACGAGCAAUGCCGCGUGAACGAGGAAGGUCUUCGGAUCGUAAAGUUCUGUUGAAGGGGAAAAAGAGCGGAGAGAGGAAAUGGUCUCCGAUUGAUAUUACCCUUCGAGGAAGUCACGGCUAACUACGUGCCAGCAGCCGCGGUAAUACGUAGGUGGCGAGCGUUAUCCGGAAUGAUUGGGCGUAAAGGGUGCGUAGGCGGCCUGCUAAGUCUGGAGUGAAA